ensembl:lncRNA
CAGCAAGAGCCGAUUAAAUGACAGCUACAGCAGUCUAUUUUAUUCUGCCAUUGCGGAGAGAGGUGUUCGUGUUAUCCCCACCAAUGAGAAUAUAGUGCCUCCGGUCCUGGGGGUUUCACUGCUGUACUCACCUCUCCAUGGCAAAUCGCCCAACCUAAAUUGGAAGAGUGGACUGCCUUCUCAGCCGCUGUUGUGAACUCCUCCUUGGUGGAGUCUGCUGUCUUGUCUUGUCUUAUCUUGUUUUUAUUAAGUAGGCUUACCUUUUUUUUGGUUCGCCUGGUGUUCUAUUUUAUUUUGGACUGUUGCUCGUACCCACGCUUCUGUGAUCGGGCUGAAGUGAUUCUCUGCCCAAGUGUCGUGCUGGGACUCCAAAUC